AGGUCACUGCUUGUUUUGGAAAACUAAAUAAAUGCUCUGGGAAAACAACAAAAGAAAGGUCUAGCUUACGUUCCUUAUCGUAAUAGCAAAUUGAUGUGUAUUCUUAAAGAUUGCCUGAGUGGUAAUUCUCAUACUAUAAUGAUCAUCACCAUAUCUCCAGCAGAUAGUCAGUAUCACCAUACUGUUAACACUUUGAAGUAUGCUCACUGAACAAAGGAAAUUAAGGCACAUACAUAUUCAGUGUAUUAGGCUCACCAACAAUGAUGGAAUGGUCUGACGGACUUCAACUUGCCAGUUCUACUGGCUACCAGUUUUCCACAGGUGAGUUGUUUAUCCCUACCC